AUGGAGUCGCCGCCGCGGCGUCCGCCGGAGAGGAGGUACCCUCUGCGGGAAAACAGGUCUGCGUCGAGAGUCCCGCCUCGACUGCCCCCUACCCGGUCCUCCUCGUCUUCGUCUUCAGCAGCACCAAGUCCCCCUCCGACGAGCUUCGCUCGAGCCCUUGCGUUUGCGCCACCACCGUCCUCGCCACCGGCUUCGAACCGUCACCGCGCCUCCUCAUCGGCCGCAUUGGACGCGGCAACGGGCGAGGCUGUUGGCCCCAUCUCGUCCGAAGGUACCACCGUUUCUGUAUCAGAUAUCCCUCUGAUGGUAAAGACCAAACAUCACAAGAAAAAAGAGAUAACAUCCAGGAGGGCAGAGAAAAGGGGGUCAGUCGAGUUGCUGGGAUCGGAUCAAAUCACGCUGUUGAAGAGCAUGGACACUUUAUCAGAAUUAAUACAAAAGGAGCUCAGUGAUGCCUUGAAUACACAUGGAGUAUCCGAUGGUGAGAAAAGGAAGAUCUUCACUGAUCUUGUGAACAAAUGGAACAGCAUUCUUAAGGAGGCAGUCUCUACUGAGAGGGGUCGUUGCAAAAUUUUGAUCAACAAAAUCCAAGAGCUAAUUGACAAGUACAUGCCACUCUGCCUUGUUCUUGGAGAACCAGAAAAAGUAUCAGAUAUUCAGUUGACUGCUAGCCUAAAACAGAUCGAAAGCCUUCUAAUAUCUGCUGUGCCUGAAUUGGAGGAGCUGAAAAGGCAAAGAUUCAUGAAACUUCAAGACUUACAAGGAAGAUUGAUAGAUCUGUGGGACGAUUUGGGAGUUACCAUCCAAAAACAGAGGCCUUACUCUUUUAUGAUCUGCAACUGCGCUGCAAAAGUAGAUGAAGUGGUUGAAGAGAACGCCUUAUCUGCUGAAUUACUAGAAAAGGUCGAGUGCGAGGUAGCGAGGCUGGAAUUGCUGUUGAAGAAAUCACUUACAGAGAAGGCUGGAGAUAUUUCUACAGAGGCUGAAAGUAUACGCAAUGAUGCAACAAAGCGUGAAGGGCUAGCUGAUGCACCUAAACUGAGAGAGGAAGUCUGCGCCUGGGAAGAAGAGCAGGGCAAAAGAUUUUUCCGUGAUGCUAAUCGCUUGAAAGGAAAACUGUGCACUGAAGCAGUGGGCCGCCCACAUUUGUCCGCAGGGACUUCCCAUGCGGCAGGUAUUCGAGUUACUCCUGUACCUAACGCUUCGGUUAUCAGAGUCAUCUUUUCUUAUGUAUUUUGGUCUGAAAGGUGCUGCUGCUGCCGCCGCUGA
rnacentral:rRNA from 1 species